rnacentral:rRNA from 1 species
GAUGAACGCUGGCGGCGUGCCUAAUACAUGCAAGUCGAGCGAACGGACGAGAAGCUUGCUUCUCUGAUGUUAGCGGCGGACGGGUGAGUAACACGUGGAUAACCUACCUAUAAGACUGGGAUAACUUCGGGAAACCGGAGCUAAUACCGGAUAAUAUUUUGAACCGCAUGGUUCAAAAGUGAAAGACGGUCUUGCUGUCACUUAUAGAUGGAUCCGCGCUGCAUUAGCUAGUUGGUAAGGUAACGGCUUACCAAGGCAACGAUGCAUAGCCGACCUGAGAGGGAGAUCGGCCACACUGGAACUGAGACACGCUCCAGACUCCUACGGGAGGCAGCAGUAGGGAAUCUCCCGCAAUGGGCGAAAGCCUGACGGAGCAACGCCGCGUGAGUGAUGAAGGUCUUCGGAUCGUAAAACUCUGUUAUUAGGGAAGAACAUAUGUGUAAGUAACUGUGCACAUCUUGACGGUACCUAAUCAGAAAGCCACGGCUAACUACGUG